GAAUGCAGCGGCUAGCAGCUAGCGGAUUUAAGUUAUUGAUAUGCAGAGCUGAAAGCAGGCCGUGGCUUUGAAAUAUUGCUUUGCAUGCUCGCUCUGUUGAAGUGAAUCCUAGUGGGAGAACAUCAGAGACCAGAGCCAAGUACCGCAUGGACAACCAAAGAGCCACGCACACCCACACACACACACACUCAGCGGGAGGUACUGGAUACUAUGUUUUGUUUUUAUAUUCAGGCUGGAUAGUGACAAAGCCAUUGAACGAUUUCACUGAUCUAUCCUUACAACUUCUAGAUAUUUUAGGUUGGACGAUACGCUGGAAGACCGAGAGAAAAAAAGUCUUAUAGAGACGGCCUGAAAGGAUUCUGUGUUAGCCCUGGCAUUCUUCUUAAUAGGGUUCAUCAUGGGUCAGGACACAUGAUGGUCAGAUUCGCUGCUUCUACAUAACGGGCCUCUGUUAUCAACACUUAUGCCUUUAUUGUGCGUUAUCCUAAAGAGUUUUGGGACAUAAAGUGGGCGCCAAGUCUUAUAAUGGAGGUCUACUUUGGAGUAAUAGAGGUCUAGUUGGAGAAAAUGCAAAAUGGUUGGUAUUAUAGAUGAUACCUCCAUGGUAAUGGACGUCAUAUAGGUGGUACACAAUUCAACCUAAAAGUUGAGGAAUUAAAAAUGGUCACAAGUUCGAAUUAAAAUGGUCCAGUUUGGUUUCGUAAAGAGGCUGUGAUUUUAAUUAGAGCUGAAGCUCAUAUUCAUGGGAAAGUCCAUCUCCAGGAGAAGGGUUGGUGUCCAAUGAGGCAGAGCAUACAGAAUGCUGUUAUUUCUCAUCCCUAAAAGUUUUUUUUUUGUUUUGAAAUCGAGACCAAAAUCUCCCAUUUGAAACUUCAACUCCUGUUUAGUUUCAGUGCAGAUAUGACCUGGUUCCUGAAUAAGGUUGUGUGUAGAUGCCGUGACUCAAGUUUCUUUGAGCAUAUAUGCUCCCUUUUUCAGGAGACUGUAUUGUAAAGAUAAUUGUGUAAAAUCGAAUAAGAUUUACAGAUCUUUAUUGGAAAGGGUUUAAAUGAUGUUUUUCAUGCUUUUUCAAUGAAUCAUAAACAAUUAUUGCACAUACAGCUGUGGAACAGUCCUUAAGACACGAACGGUGUACAGGUGGGAGGUGAUUACGGUCACAGUUACAGUAAGUUAGGACACCAAAGAGACCUUUCUACUGACUCUGAAAAACACCAGAAGAAAGAUGCCUAGGGUUCCUGCUCACCUGCGUGAACAUACAUGUCUGUAAUGUAAGACGCUUAAGGCAGUGCUACAGGGAGACAGGAAGGACAUCUGGUUGUCCUCGCAGUGGAAAAUUACAUGUAAACAUGUGUUCCCCCCAGACAUGAUGGAGAACUUGCAAAUGACUUGGUGGAAGAGUGGUGGAACAUCUCACAGCAGGAACUGACCAAUCUGGUGCAAUCCAUGAG
ensembl:lncRNA